AUGAUUAGCAAUGAAACAUUUUUGAAGCUCAUUUAAUUUUAGAAUUUCUACAUCUGUUAAUGUUGGUUUUACUUCCAACUUUCUAAUUUCCAAAAUAAUUUCGGACUGCUUCUUAAGGAAUUGAAUAGUCUUUUCUGACAUCAUUUUGAAAAUUUUUUGUAAUUUCUUAAUAUAUAUAGUACGUGUAUAUGUAUUUUAUAUGUAUUUAUAUAUAUAUGUGUGUUUGGAUAAACAGAAAAUUCUUGUUUUGACUUAGCUGAUGUCGUUGUUGUUGCUGCUGCUGUUGCUGCUGUUGUUGCUGCUGUUGCUACUGCUGUUGCUGCUUCUGCUGCUGCUGUUGUUGCUGCUUCUGCUGCUGGUAGAGGCUCCUUUGAAUUUGACUUCCUUCUCUUCUUUAAGGCUCCGUCGAUGUUUAAAGAUGAUUUUUUUUUUUUUUUUUGGCACGUUUUAUUAUUUUUGUAGUCCAGUCAGAUUUUUUGUUUUUUAGCCAUUUAUUUCGGCAUUUAUGCUCUUUUGGCAUAUACACUGCACUCUAUUUAUGAGCUGAUUUAAUGCUAUUAGAGCAUUUAUAAGGCACUGUUUUCAGGCACUUUUUAUUUAAUUUAUGCUCUUAUGGCAUAUACACUGCACUCUAUUUAUGAGCUGAUUUAAUGCUAUUAGAGCAUUUAUAAGGCACUUUUGUUAUGCACUUUUUAAUUUCACAAUUGCUGAUGUAUGGCCUCAAGCACGCCUUACCACAAUUUAUAAUGGUUCACAAAGCAACCUUUAGCUAUAGACUAUAAGGUGCUUGUUUUAAAACAUAAAAGAUUCUUUUGUAUCUUUUGCUUUUUAUAUUUAUACUCUGUUCCUUACCUUUGGUAGGGGGAAACAAGAGUCACUUAUUUUUGCUACCUUUAGCUGUAAGAUGCUUAAAGGAGCUGGCCUUUCUCUGAGUUCCUUACCUUUGGUAGGGGGAAACUGCAGAGUCGAUUAAAGGCUCGAUUGACCAAAUGUAAAAUCCCAAAUAAGAAGACUUUACUCGUUGAGUUUUUGUAAGAAACUGAUUUUAUUUGGAAAUAUCUUCGGUUUAAAUAGGUGACAUGAGAAUCGCAUCUUAAAGUAAAUGGCCUACGCAGAGGCCUAAGUAAAUAGUCCCCGCCUUAUCGAGGUCCCACGCUCGGGCACAUCUGCCUAUCUUGAGCGGCGAGGACCUUAUCUGUGGUCUCCCACUAAGGGACUAUUUUAGGAGGCGGGGAACGAUCUCAAGUGACUGACUCAUGUAGUGUGCACUUAAAUUACAUGUUUUUGAGCAAUGCACCCAUGUCGCCUUAGAUAACAAAAUCCUAAAUAUAAUUUAUCGCUCUCGAUUCAUUUACAUAAGAUAUGAACGGAGCCCAAAAUUGUAAGUCUUUAAAUAUAUUCGUGUUCAUGUGUGAACAACUUGUGAUAUAAAUUUUGAAACUUUAGUGAGUAGGAAGGUACAAUGGUAUGCGUAGAAGUGUUUGGCGUAAGCCUGCAUGGAGCUGCCAUUGGUACAGAUCUUGGUGGUAGUAGCAAAUAAUCGAAUGAGACCUUGGAGGACUGAAGUGGAGAAGGGUUUCGUGUGAACAGUGGUUGAUCACGAGUUAGUCGGUCCUAAGUUCAAGGCGAAAGCCGAAAAUUUUCAAGUAAAACAAAAAUGCCUAACUAUAUAAACAAAGCGAAUUAUAAUACACUUGAAUAAUUUGAACGAAAGGGAAUACGGUUCCAAUUCCGUAACCUGUUGAGUAUCCGUUUGUUAUUAAAUAUGGGCCUCGUGCUCAUCCUGGCAACAGGAACGACCAUAAAGAAGCCGUCGAGAGAUAUCGGAAGAGUUUUCUUUUCUGUUUUAUAGCCGUACUACCAUGGAAGUCUUUCGCAGAGAGAUAUGGUAGAUGGGCUAGAAGAGCAUGACAUAUACUGUUGUGUCGAUAUUUUCUCCUCGGACCUUGAAAAUUUAUGGUGGGGACACGCAAACUUCUCAACAGGCCGUACCAAUAUCCGCAGCUGGUCUCCAAGGUGAAGAGUCUCUAGUCGAUAGAAUAAUGUAGGUAAGGGAAGUCGGCAAAUUAGAUCCGUAACUUCGGGAUAAGGAUUGGCUCUGAAGAUUGAGAUAGUCGGGCUUGAUUGGGAAACAAUAACAUGGUUUAUGUGCUCGUUCUGGGUAAAUAGAGUUUCUAGCAUUUAUGUUAGUUACUUGUUCCCCGGAUAGUUUAGUUACGUAGCCAAUUGUGGAACUUUCUUGCUAAAAUUUUUAAGAAUACUAUUUGGGUUAAACCAAUUAGUUCUUAUUAAUUAUAACGAUUAUCAAUUAACAAUCAAUUCAGAACUGGCACGGACUUGGGGAAUCCGACUGUCUAAUUAAAACAAAGCAUUGUGAUGGCCCUAGCGGGUGUUGACACAAUGUGAUUUCUGCCCAGUGCUCUGAAUGUCAAAGUGAAGAAAUUCAAGUAAGCGCGGGUCAACGGCGGGAGUAACUAUGACUCUCUUAAGGUAGCCAAAUGCCUCGUCAUCUAAUUAGUGACGCGCAUGAAUGGAUUAACGAGAUUCCUACUGUCCCUAUCUACUAUCUAGCGAAACCACAGCCAAGGGAACGGGCUUGGAAUAAUUAGCGGGGAAAGAAGACCCUUUUGAGCUUGACUCUAAUCUGGCAGUGUAAGGAGACAUAAGAGGUGUAGAAUAAGUGGGAGAUAUUAGACCUCGGUUUGGUAUCGUCAAUGAAAUACCACUACUCUUAUUGUUUCCUUACUUACUUGAUUAAAUGGAACGUGUAUCAUUUCCUAGCCAUUAUACGGAUAUAUUUAUUAUAUCUUAUGGUAUUGGGUUUUGAUGCAAGCUUCUUGAUCAAAGUAUCACGAGUUUGUUAUAUAAUCGCAAACAAAUUCUUUAAUAAAACGAUGCAUUUAUGUAUUUUUGAUUUGAAAAUUUGGUAUAACUCCAAUUACUCAGGUAUGAUCCAAUUCAAGGACAUUGCCAGGUAGGGAGUUUGACUGGGGCGGUACAUCUCUCAAAUAAUAACGGAGGUGUCCCAAGGCCAGCUCAGUGCGGACAGAAACCACACAUAGAGCAAAAGGGCAAAUGCUGACUUGAUCUCGGUGUUCAGUACACACAGGGACAGCAAAAGCUCGGCCUAUCGAUCCUUUUGGUUUAAAGAGUUUUUAACAAGAGGUGUCAGAAAAGUUACCAUAGGGAUAACUGGCUUGUGGCGGCCAAGCGUUCAUAGCGACGUCGCUUUUUGAUCCUUCGAUGUCGGCUCUUCCUAUCAUUGUGAAGCAAAAUUCACCAAGCGUUGGAUUGUUCACCCAUGCAAGGGAACGUGAGCUGGGUUUAGACCGUCGUGAGACAGGUUAGUUUUACCCUACUAAUGACAAAACGUUGUUGCGACAGCAUUCCUGCGUAGUACGAGAGGAACCGCAGGUACGGACCAAUGGCACAAUACUUGUUCGAGCGAACAGUGGUAUGACGCUACGUCCGUUGGAUUAUGCCUGAACGCCUCUAAGGUCGUAUCCGUGCUGGACUGCAAUGAUAAAUAAGGGGCAAUUUGCAUUGU
rnacentral:rRNA from 1 species